rnacentral:rRNA from 1 species
GUUAAUGAAGGGCCGCAGUAUUUUGACUGUGCAAAGGUAGCAUAAUCAUUUGCCUUUUAAUUAAAGGCUAGUAUGAAUGGUUAAACGAAAUACAAACUGUCUCAUUUUUAAAAUUAUAAUAAUUUAGCUUUCUAGUUAAAAGGCUGGAAUUAAGUUAGAGGACGAGAAGACCCUAUAGAACUUUAUAUAUUUUUAAAAUAAACUUAUAUAGUAAAAAAUUUUUGUUUAAAUAAUAAUAUAUUUUGUUGGGGUGACAGGGAAAUUUAUUUAACUUUCUUAAUUAUAAAACAUUGAUUUAUGAAUAUUUGAUCCAUUAAUAUUGAUUAUUAGAAUAAGUUACCUUAGGGAUAACAGCGUAAUUUUGUUGGAGAGUUCAUAUCUAUAACAAAGUUUGCGACCUCGAUGUUGAAUUAAA